UGGCUCGUAGCUCAGCGGAAAGAGCAGCUGCCUCCUAAGCAGCGGAGCGCCGGUUCGAUUCCGGCCGAGCCAGCCA
rnacentral:tRNA from 1 species